GACGAACGCUGGCGGCGUGCUUAACACAUGCAAGUCGAACGGAAAGGCCCUGCUUUUGUGGGGUGCUCGAGUGGCGAACGGGUGAGCAACACGUGAGUAACCUGCCCUUGACUUUGGGAUAACUUCAGGAAACUGGGGCUAAUACCGGAUAGGAGCUCCUGCUGCAUGGUGGGGGUUGGAAAGUUUCGGCGGUUGGGGAUGGACUCGCGGCUUAUCAGCUUGUUGGUGGGGUAGUGGCUUACCAAGGCUUUGACGGGUAGCCGGCCUGAGAGGGUGACCGGCCACAUUGGGACUGAGAUACGGCCCAGACUCCUACGGGAGGCAGCAGUGGGGAAUAUUGCACAAUGGGCGGAAGCCUGAUGCAGCAACGCCGCGUGCGGGAUGACGGCCUUCGGGUUGUAAACCGCUUUCGCCUGUGACGAAGCGUGAGUGACGGUAAUGGGUAAAGAAGCACCGGCUAACUACGUGCCAGCAGCCGCGGUGAUACGUAGGGUGCGAGCGUUGUCCGGAUUUAUUGGGCGUAAAGGGCUCGUAGGUGGUUGAUCGCGUCGGAAGUGUAAUCUUGGGGCUUAACCCUGAGCGUGCCUUCGAUACGGGUUGACUUGAGGAAGGUAGGGGAGAAUGGAAUUCCUGGUGGAGCGGUGGAAUGCGCAGAUAUCAGGAGGAACACCAGUGGCGAAGGCGGUUCUCUGAGCCUUUCCUGACGCUGAGGAGCGAAAGCGUGGGGAGCGAACAGGCUUAGAUACCCUGGUAGUCCACGCUGUAAACGGUGGGUACUAGGUGUGGGGGUCCAUUCCACGGGUUCCGUGCCGUAGCUAACGCUUUAAGUACCCCGCCUGGGGAGUACGGCCGCAAGGCUAAAACUCAAAGGAAUUGACGGGGCCCCGCACAAGCGGCGGAGCAUGCGGAUUAAUUCGAUGCAACGCGUAGAACCUUACCUGGGUUUGACAUGGAUCGGGAGUGCUCAGAGAUGGGUGUGCCUCUUUUGGGGUCGGUUCACAGGUGGUGCAUGGCUGUCGUCAGCUCGUGUCGUGAGAUGUUGGGUUAAGUCCCGCAACGAGCGCAACCCUUGUUCACUGUUGCCAGCACGUUAUGGUGGGGACUCAGUGGAGACCGCCGGGGUCAACUCGGAGGAAGGUGGGGAUGACGUCAAGUCAUCAUGCCCCUUAUGUCCAGGGCUUCACGCAUGCUACAAUGGCUGGUACAGAGAGUGGCGAGCCUGUGAGGGUGAGCGAAUCUCGGAAAGCCGGUCUCAGUUCGGAUUGGGGUCUGCAACUCGACCUCAUGAAGUCGGAGUCGCUAGUAAUCGCAGAUCAGCAACGCUGCGGUGAAUACGUUCCCGGG
rnacentral:rRNA from 1 species